UAUAGAUAUAUAGGAUAAAGUCUGUUAGUUUUCAAGAUUAAAGGUGUAUAUAAU
rnacentral:tRNA from 1 species